CUAUCUACAGGCUUAACACAUGCAAGUCGAGGGGCAUCAGGAAGAAAGCUUGCUUUCUUUGCUGGCGACCGGCGCACGGGUGAGUAACACGUAUCCAACCUGCCCUUUACUCGGGGAUAGCCUUUCGAAAGAAAGAUUAAUACCCGAUAGCAUAAUGAUUCCGCAUGGUUUCAUUAUUAAAGGAUUCCGGUAAAGGAUGGGGAUGCGUUCCAUUAGGUUGUUGGUGAGGUAACGGCCCACCAAGCCUUCGAUGGAUAGGGGUUCUGAGAGGAAGGUCCCCCACAUUGGAACUGAGACACGGUCCAAACUCCUACGGGAGGCAGCAGUGAGGAAUAUUGGUCAAUGGGCGCUAGCCUGAACCAGCCAAGUAGCGUGAAGGAUGAAGGCUCUAUGGGUCGUAAACUUCUUUUAUAUAAGAAUAAAGUGCAGUAUGUAUACUGUUUUGUAUGUAUUAUAUGAAUAAGGAUCGGCUAACUCCGUGCCAGCAGCCGCGGUAAUACGGAGGAUCCGAGCGUUAUCCGGAUUUAUUGGGUUUAAAGGGAGCGUAGGUGGACUGGUAAGUCAGUUGUGAAAGUUUGCGGCUCAACCGUAAAAUUGCAGUUGAUACUGUCAGUCUUGAGUACAGUAGAGGUGGGCGGAAUUCGUGGUGUAGCGGUGAAAUGCUUAGAUAUCACGAAGAACUCCGAUUGCGAAGGCAGCUCACUGGACUGCAACUGACACUGAUGCUCGAAAGUGUGGGUAUCAAACAGGAUUAGAUACCCUGGUAGUCCACACAGUAAACGAUGAAUACUCGCUGUUUGCGAUAUACAGUAAGCGGCCAAGCGAAAGCAUUAAGUAUUCCACCUGGGGAGUACGCCGGCAACGGUGAAACUCAAAGGAAUUGACGGGGGCCCGCACAAGCGGAGGAACAUGUGGUUUAAUUCGAUGAUACGCGAGGAACCUUACCCGGGCUUAAAUUGCAGUGGAAUGAUGUGGAAACAUGUCAGUGAGCAAUCACCGCUGUGAAGGUGCUGCAUGGUUGUCGUCAGCUCGUGCCGUGAGGUGUCGGCUUAAGUGCCAUAACGAGCGCAACCCUUAUCUUUAGUUACUAACAGGUUAUGCUGAGGACUCUAGAGAGACUGCCGUCGUAAGAUGUGAGGAAGGUGGGGAUGACGUCAAAUCAGCACGGCCCUUACGUCCGGGGCUACACACGUGUUACAAUGGGGGGUACAGAAGGCAGCUAGCGGGUGACCGUAUGCUAAUCCCAAAAUCCUCUCUCAGUUCGGAUCGAAGUCUGCAACCCGACUUCGUGAAGCUGGAUUCGCUAGUAAUCGCGCAUCAGCCACGGCGCGGUGAAUACGUUCCCGGGCCUUGUACACACCGCCCGUCAAGCCAUGGGAGCCGGGGGUACCUGAAGUACGUAACCGCAAGGAUCGUCCUAGGGUAAAACUGGUGACUGGGGCUAA
rnacentral:rRNA from 1 species